rnacentral:piRNA from 1 species
UCCUUGGUCUCUUCCACAGGAUGCAGAAU